rnacentral:rRNA from 1 species
GGUUAAGCGACUAAGCGUACACGGUGGAUGCCCUGGCAGUCAGAGGCGAUGAAGGACGUGCUAAUCUGCGAAAAGCGUCGGUAAGGUGAUAUGAACCGUUAUAACCGGCGAUGUCCGAAUGGGGAAACCCAGUGCAAUUCGUUGCACUAUCGUUAACUGAAUACAUAGGUUAACGAGGCGAACCGGGGGAACUGAAACAUCUAAGUACCCCGAGGAAAAGAAAUCAACCGAGAUUCCCCCAGUAGCGGCGAGCGAACGGGGAGCAGCCCAGAGUCUGAAUCAGCUUGUGUGUUAGUGGAACGGUCUGGAAAGUCCGACGGUACAGGGUGAUAGUCCCGUACACCAAAAUGCACAGGUUGUGAACUCGAAGAGUAGGGCGGGACACGUGGUAUCCUGUCUGAAUAUGGGGGGACCAUCCUCCAAGGCUAAAUACUCCUGACUGACCGAUAGUGAACCAGUACCGUGAGGGAAAGGCGAAAAGAACCCCGGCGAGGGGAGUGAAAAAGAACCUGAAACCGUGUACGUACAAGCAGUGGGAGCACCUUCGGGUGUGACUGCGUACCUUUUGUAUAAUGGGUCAGCGACUUAUAUUCUGUAGCAAGGUUAACCGUAUAGGGGAGCCGCAGGGAAACCGAGUCUUAACUGGGCGUUAAGUUGCAGGGUAUAGACCCGAAACCCGGUGAUCUAGCCAUGGGCAGGUUGAAGGUUGGGUAACACUAACUGGAGGACCGAACCGACUAAUGUUGAAAAAUUAGCGGAUGACUUGUGGCUGGGGGUGAAAGGCCAAUCAAACCGGGAGAUAGCUGGUUCUCCCCGAAAGCUAUUUAGGUAGCGCCUCGUGAAUUCAUCUUCGGGGGUAGAGCACUGUUUCGGCUAGGGGGUCAUCCCGACUUACCAACCCGAUGCAAACUACGAAUACCGAAGAAUGUUAUCACGGGAGACACACGGCGGGUGCUAACGUCCGUCGUGAAGAGGGAAACAACCCAGACCGCCAGCUAAGGUCCCAAAGUCAUGGUUAAGUGGGAAACGAUGUGGGAAGGCACAGACAGCCAGGAUGUUGGCUUAGAAGCAGCCAUCAUUUAAAGAAAGCGUAAUAGCUCACUGGUCGAGUCGGCCUGCGCGGAAGAUGUAACGGGGCUAAACCAUGCACCGAAGCUGCGGCAGCGACACUAUGUGUUGUUGGGUAGGGGAGCGUUCUGUAAGCCUGCGAAGGUGACCUGUGAGGGUUGCUGGAGGUAUCAGAAGUGCGAAUGCUGACAUAAGUAACGAUAAAGCGGGUGAAAAGCCCGCUCGCCGGAAGACCAAGGGUUCCUGUCCAACGUUAAUCGGGGCAGGGUGAGUCGACCCCUAAGGCGAGGCCGAAAGGCGUAGUCGAUGGGAAACAGGUUAAUAUUCCUGUACUUGGUGUUACUGCGAAGGGGGGACGGAGAAGGCUAUGUUAGCCGGGCGACGGUUGUCCCGGUUUAAGCAUGUAGGCUGGUUAUCCAGGCAAAUCCGGAUAAUCAAGGCUGAGGUGUGAUGACGAGGCACUACGGUGCUGAAGUAACAAAUGCCCUGCUUCCAGGAAAAGCCUCUAAGCAUCAGGUAACAUCAAAUCGUACCCCAAACCGACACAGGUGGUCAGGUAGAGAAUACCAAGGCGCUUGAGAGAACUCGGGUGAAGGAACUAGGCAAAAUGGUGCCGUAACUUCGGGAGAAGGCACGCUGGUGUGUAGGUGAAGUCCCUGCGGAUGGAGCUGAGACCAGUCGAAGAUACCAGCUGGCUGCAACUGUUUAUUAAAAACACAGCACUGUGCAAACACGAAAGUGGACGUAUACGGUGUGACGCCUGCCCGGUGCCGGAAGGUUAAUUGAUGGGGUUAUCCGUAAGGAGAAGCUCUUGAUCGAAGCCCCGGUAAACGGCGGCCGUAACUAUAACGGUCCUAAGGUAGCGAAAUUCCUUGUCGGGUAAGUUCCGACCUGCACGAAUGGCGUAAUGAUGGCCAGGCUGUCUCCACCCGAGACUCAGUGAAAUUGAACUCGCUGUGAAGAUGCAGUGUACCCGCGGCAAGACGGAAAGACCCCGUGAACCUUUACUAUAGCUUGACACUGAACAUUGAGCCUUGAUGUGUAGGAUAGGUGGGAGGCUUUGAAGCGUGGACGCCAGUCUGCGUGGAGCCAACCUUGAAAUACCACCCUUUAAUGUUUGAUGUUCUAACGUUGGCCCCUGACCGGGGUUGCGGACAGUGUCUGGUGGGUAGUUUGACUGGGGCGGUCUCCUCCCAAAGCGUAACGGAGGAGCACGAAGGUUAGCUAAUCCUGGUCGGACAUCAGGAGGUUAGUGCAAUGGCAUAAGCUAGCUUGACUGCGAGCGUGACGGCGCGAGCAGGUGCGAAAGCAGGUCAUAGUGAUCCGGUGGUUCUGAAUGGAAGGGCCAUCGCUCAACGGAUAAAAGGUACUCCGGGGAUAACAGGCUGAUACCGCCCAAGAGUUCAUAUCGACGGCGGUGUUUGGCACCUCGAUGUCGGCUCAUCACAUCCUGGGGCUGAAGUAGGUCCCAAGGGUAUGGCUGUUCGCCAUUUAAAGUGGUACGCGAGCUGGGUUUAGAACGUCGUGAGACAGUUCGGUCCCUAUCUGCCGUGGGCGCUGGAGAAUUGAGGGGGGCUGCUCCUAGUACGAGAGGACCGGAGUGGACGCAUCACUGGUGUUCGGGUUGUCAUGCCAAUGGCACUGCCCGGUAGCUAAAUGCGGAAGAGAUAAGUGCUGAAAGCAUCUAAGCACGAAACUUGCCCCGAGAUGAGUUCUCCCUGAGACUUUAAGUCUCCUGAAGGAACGUU